GGCCCGCCAAGGAACAGAGGAGGGCAGGUAUGUUCCGGGCAGCCUCCGGAGUCAAAUCAAGAUUUGAGGUACCCUGAGGAGGCUCGUAGCUAAAGCUUGGAAACGGCAGCACCGAGGCACACACGGAGAGCAUCUCCACGACCCUAACC